rnacentral:lncRNA from 1 species
UCAGGAACUUCUGGGAAGGCAUUAGGCCUGGUUAGAUGCUGGUUGCCAUGGAGCCCAGGGCCAGAGGCAGUUUCUGGUCGUGCCUAGGAGCUGUGCAACGCCAGCCCUUGAGGAGGAAGCCAUCUGUUUCUGGAAUCACCCUCCCCGCCACGUAUAUGAGACAUAUCCUUGAUUGUCCGUGAAAUCAGGUGGUCCAGGGCCAGGUUGGUCCAUAGAGGUAGGUGUAAGACAUCCUCUGCUCCUGCCCAAGGGUCUCCUCGUAUCUGGAAGCUCUUUCUGCUGCUUGGUUUGGUACCUAUCAUGGGAGUUUUCGUGAUCCUUGCACACCACCAUCCCUCUCUGGAGUCUCACUGCCCUCCCAGGGACCCUGAGCAAGACGCAGGGCUGUCUCGGAUUUACAGAGAUGUUGACAAAACAAUGUAAAAGUUCAUCUAGAGAACUGAGUACUUAAGGAACUAUCACAAAAGAAGAAUGAGA